rnacentral:rRNA from 1 species
UACGGAGGGUGCAAGCGUUAUCCGGAAUCACUGGGUUUAAAGGGUCCGUAGGCGGCCCAGUAAGUCAGUGGUGAAAUCUCCCGGCUCAACCGGGAAAUUGCCAUUGAUACUGCUGGGCUUGAAUUACCAGGAAGUAACUAGAAUAUGUAGUGUAGCGGUGAAAUGCUUAGAGAUUACAUGGAAUACCAAUUGCGAAGGCAGGUUACUACUGGUGGAUUGACGCUGAUGGACGAAAGCGUGGGUAGCGAACAGG